rnacentral:tRNA from 1 species
AAAAAAUUAGUUAACUAAUAACAUUAAAAUGUCAUUUUAAAAUCAUUAAUUUAAUUUAAUAUUUUUUU